AAUGACUUUUACCUCAUUUUUAAAACAAAUCCAUAGUAUGGAAUGAUGGAAUAAAGCAUACGAAGUAGAAGGACUGGAACCUCCAGAAAAAGUACUUUAAGUUACCUACAGGUGAUCCUAGUCAGGUAUGAAUUGAUAAGAAAUGCCUGCACCUUCCCUCCUUCCUAUCUUUCCCUUGCCUACAGAAAAUUAAAAGGCAAAACAAUGGACAUCUACAUAUUCUUCAUUCAGAUCAACCAGUGGCUAGCAUUUGCCACCUUUUGCAGUUUCUUUCUCUUUCCAUAAGUACUUUCUUCUCUGAAUCAUUUGAAAGCAAAUGAAAACAGUAGCCUAAAGUGUCAGUUUCAACCCGAAAAUAACAGCUCUGAUUUCUCAUGGCUCACACUCGUCUGAAAUGACUCGGGUAGAGGCUGAGGAAGGCUGUGUUGUUUGUCUACCUGGGACUACACCUACUGAAAGAAGUUCUCAAGUUCUGAUUGAGUUCUAAAAUUCUUUUGAAGAUUGGAAUUCUUCAUAUGUAAAAAGAGAAGAGAAAGACAUUCUUGAUUUUGGUGACUAGAGUUGUAGAUGCUGGAAGCUUUGCCACUAACAUUGAUGAACCAGAUGCAUGUCACCAGCCCAUCACGGUGAUUCUUAAUGCCGGCACCAUGGGCCGGCACUGCCACGUUUUCCAAGGAACCUGCCAGAGCUCCUGCGGAAGCUGCUCCUCGGGCGAUGGAGUCCCUUUGCUGCUAGGCCCUUCUUCAGUCACCACAGGAUGCCUGCCAUUCAUGAACAGGAAGGAGAGGACGGGCUUUGAAUAAAAAACAGGAUCCAGGAAAUAUUUGUGAGGCCAUUUGGACUUCAGUGUGAAAUGGUGUUAAAAGAUGAAGUCAUUUAUUCAAGAAGUAAACCUCUGCCACCUGGACUGUGCUCAGACAUUUCAUUGAUUUUGUUUAAUAAACAUUUUCUGGCUUUGG
rnacentral:lncRNA from 1 species